ensembl:lncRNA
UGGAGACCAUCAUCAUGCUGCCACACUACACACCUCUGAGACCAUCAAUGAUGACUGAUACUGAGGAUCCUCAGAGAAGAGAGAGGUAUUGCUGUCUUCUGAGUUCUUCAGUGUCCCAACUGAGACAUUCAAACCUCAUUGCAGAGCUCAAGUCUUUCCUCACCAUCAUGUGAAUGUGAGAUUGCUCUGGAUUCUGGUUAUGUGGACUGCAGCACCUAUAAGAACAAGCUCGUCCAGUGUGCCUGCAUUCCAGCUUCUUAGACUCUACGCAAGUGGACAGAGUAUCAGUGCUUGGCCACUCUUACAGACACCGACUUCUGUCAACUCACUGCUACUGAGCAGGCACCUCACUCCAGGAAAACAGAGGGCUGCAAGCCUGUCAUCGUUUCCAGUGUGGCUUUGUAUUCUUGGGGUAGCAUCAGAUUUUUCCCACAAAUAUUCAAAGAUUUAUAUGCAGUUAUUGGAUGUGGUGGAGCUUUCUUAACUGUGUGGAAAACAUCUGUUUGUGAUGAUAUUUACAAUGAGGCUUUAAGGUGACAGUUUCCAUGUAAUUUCAAUCCUUUUACUAAGCAAAAACAUGUUUGCAAUUAACAUAUUUUUUCAGUUUUGUCUUUUGGAUUUAUGGUUAACAUUCCUCUGUGACAGCAAAU